GGCAGGCCUAACACAUGCAAGUCGAGCGGUAGAGAGUAGACUUGCUACUCUUGAGAGCGGCGGACGGGUGAGUAACGCGUAGGAAUCUACCAAUUUGUGGGGGAUAGCCAGGGGAAACCCUGAUUAAUACCGCAUACGCCCUAUGGGGGAAAGCGGGGGAUCUUCGGACCUCGUGCAGAUUGAUGAGCCUGCGUAAGAUUAGCUAGUUGGUGAGGUAAGGGCUCACCAAGGCGACGAUCUUUAGCUGGUCUGAGAGGAUGAUCAGCCACACUGGGACUGAGACACGGCCCAGACUCCUACGGGAGGCAGCAGUGGGGAAUAUUGGACAAUGGGGGCAACCCUGAUCCAGCCAUGCCGCGUGUGUGAAGAAGGCCUUCGGGUUGUAAAGCACUUUCAGAUGUGAGGAAAGGUUUGUAUUUAAUAGAUGCAAACUGUGACGUUAACAUCAGAAGAAGGACCGGCUAACUCCGUGCCAGCAGCCGCGGUAAUACGGAGGGUCCGAGCGUUAAUCGGAAUUACUGGGCGUAAAGCGCGCGUAGGUGGAUAAGUCAGUCAGAUGUGAAAGCCCUGGGCUCAACCUAGGAAUUGCAUCUGAUACUGCUUACCUAGAGUACGAUAGAGGG
rnacentral:rRNA from 1 species